GAAAAGAAGGAGGCGCGGCCUGGGCCCGCGGCGGCGGCGGCGGCGGGGGUUCUGCCCCGCGAGCGCCGGGCCUAGGCCGGGCGUGCGCGGGGCCAACGGAUGGGGCUCGAGGGGGCGAGCGCUGGCGGUGGCGGGUACGGCAGGCUCGCGGGCGCCGGGCUUCGUUACAUAAUCUCGGACCGGAGGAGCGGUGGCACAUGGCGGCGGAACGGCGCUGUGGAAGUAUGCGAGACUUAAGAGCUCAAGUGACUAGUGGUCUCCUGCCAUUUCCAGAAGUGACUCUUCAAGCCCUUGGAGAAGACGAAAUAACAUUAGAAUCUGUGCUUCGUGGAAAGUUUGCUGCGGGGAAAAAUGGACUUGCUUGCUUGGCUUGUGGUCCACAACUUGAGGUAGUAAACUCUAUAACAGGAGAGCGAUUGUCUGCUUACAGAUUCAGUGGAGUCAAUGAACAGCCUCCUGUAGUUUUAGCUGUGAAAGAAUUCUCUUGGCAGAAGAGAACUGGAUUAUUAAUAGGAUUGGAAGAAACAGAAGGGAGUGUUCUCUGUCUUUAUGACCUUGGAAUAUCAAAAGUAGUUAAAGCAGUUGUUCUUCCUGGAAGGGUAACAGCUAUUGAACCUAUAAUUAAUCAUGGAGGAGCCAGUGCAAGCACUCAGCAUUUACAUCCAAGUCUGCGAUGGCUUUUUGGAGUGGCAGCUGUGGUCACUGAUGUUGGACAGAUCCUUCUUAUUGACCUAUGUUUGGAUGACUUGUCAUGCAAUCAAAAUGAAGUUGAAGCAUCAGAUCUUGAAGUUCUAACUGGUAUCCCAGCUGAAGUACCACACAUUAGAGAAAGUGUGAUGAGAGAAGGGCGCCAUCUGUGUUUCCAGUUAGUAAGUCCAACAGGAACAGCCGUUUCAACUCUUAGUUACAUAAGCAGGACAAAUCAGCUUGCUGCAGGUUUUUCUGAUGGCUAUCUAGCACUUUGGAACAUGAAAAGCAUGAAAAGAGAAUAUUACAUACAAUUGGAAAGUGGACAAGUUCCUGUAUAUGCUGUCACUUUUCAAGAACCUGAGAAUGAUCGUCGGAAUUGCUGCUACUUGUGGGCUGUUCAGUCUACACAAGAUAGUGAAGGGGAUGUUUUGAGUUUGCAUCUACUGCAGCUGGCCUUUGGUAAUAGAAAGUGUUUGGCAUCAGGACAAAUCUUAUAUGAGUGGUUAGAAUACUGUGAAGAAAGAUACACUCUGGACCUGACAGGUGGCAUGUUCCCUUUGAGGGGACAGACGAGUAAUACCAAAUUGUUGGGAUGCCAGAGUAUAGAGAAAUUUCGAUCUCAUGGUGACAGGGAGGAAGGCGUGAAUGAAGCUCUAUCGCCUGACACUAGUGUUUCAGUCUUUACCUGGCAGGUGAAUAUAUAUGGACAGGGAAAGCCUUCUGUAUAUUUGGGGCUUUUUGAUAUAAAUCGUUGGUAUCAUGCACAAAUGCCAGAUUCGUUAAGGUCAGGAGAAUAUCUACAUAAUUGCUCUUAUUUUGCACUGUGGUCAUUGGAGUCUGUUGUAAGUAGGACUUCUCCACAUGGCAUCUUGGAUAUAUUAGUACAUGAGAGAAGUUUAAAUAGAGGAGUCCCUCCUUCAUAUCCACCUCCCGAGCAGUUUUUUAACCCAAGCACUUAUAAUUUUGAUGCCACUUGUUUGUUAAACUCGGGAGUUGUUCAUUUAACUUGUACUGGCUUUCAGAAGGAGACUUUGACUUUUUUAAAGAAAUCAGGUCCAUCACUCAAUGAACUCAUUCCUGGUGGUUAUAAUCGACGUCUUGUAGCUGGCCUUCUUUCCCCAAGUUUUGUUGAUGUUCAGCCUUCCAGUUUAAGCCAAGAAGAACAGUUAGAAGCUAUAUUGUCAACAGCAAUUCAGACUAGUUCCCUGGGACUUUUGACUGGUUAUAUCCGAAGAUGGAUAACAGAAGAACAACCAAAUUCUGCCACUAAUUUGCGCUUUGUUCUUGAAUGGACGUGGAAUAAAGUGGUUCUCACAAAAGAGGAAUUUGACAGACUAUGUGUGCCAUUAUUUGAUGGUUCGUGUCAUUUCAUGGAUCCACAAACUAUACAGUCUAUCCAGCAAUGCUAUUUGCUUCUUAGCAAUCUUAAUAUAGUCUUGAGCUGUUUUGCAUCAGAAGCCCGAGAGAUCACUGAGAGAGGACUGAUAGACUUAAGCAAUAAGUUUGUGGUUUCCCACCUCAUCUGUCAGUAUGCACAAGUGGUUCUUUGGUUCUCUCAUUCUGGGCUUUUACCAGAAGGCAUAGAUGAUUCUGUGCAGUUGUCAAGGUUAUGCUACAACUACCCUGUAAUUCAGAACUACUACACCAGUCGUCGACAGAAGUUUGAGCGUUUAUCAAGAGGGAAGUGGAAUCCCGAUUGCUUGAUGAUUGAUGGACUGGUUUCUCAGUUAGGAGAGCGAAUUGAGAAGUUGUGGAAACGAGAUGAAGGAGGCACAGGAAAAUAUCCUCCUGCUAGUCUGCAUGCAGUACUUGAUAUGUACCUAUUAGAUGGCGUUACUGAAGCAGCCAAACACUCUAUUACCAUUUAUUUGCUACUUGAUAUUAUGUAUUCCUUUCCCAACAAAACAGACACUCCCAUUGAAUCUUUCCCAACUGUAUUUGCCAUUUCUUGGGGCCAAGUUAAACUUAUUCAGGGUUUUGGUUGAUAGAUCAUAAUGACUAUGAGAGUGGUUUGGAUCUUUUGUUUCAUCCAGCUACUGCAAAACCUUUGUCAUGGCAACAUUCAAAGAUUAUUCAGGCAUUCAUGAGUCAGGGCGAGCACAGACAAGCCCUCAGAUAUAUUCAGACAAUGAAGCCAACAGUGUCCAGUGGUAGCGAUGUUAUCCUUCACCUCACUGUUUUGCUUUUUAGUAGGUGCAUGGUUGAAGCCUGGAAUUUUUUGCGGCAACAUUGCAAUAGGUUGAAUAUAGAGGAGUUACUGAAGCACAUGUAUGAAGUCUGUCAGGAAAUGGGCUUGAUGGAAGAUUUACUGAAGUUACCAUUUACAGACACUGAGCAGGAAUGUUUAGUGAAAUUUUUGCAGUCCAGUGCCAGCAUUCAGAGUCAUGAAUUCCUUUUAGUGCACCAUUUGCAGCAUGCCAAUUAUGUGCCUCCCUUGAAGCUGAACCAAACUCUGAAGAUUAAUGUUAUGAAUGAUCGUGAUCCUCGUUUGCGGGAGAGAUCACUGGCUCGAAAUUCUAUAUUAGACCAGUAUGGAAAAAUCCUUCCUAGAGUCCAUCGAAAAUUAGCCAUUGAACGAGCUAAGCCUUAUCAUCUGUCAACAUCAUCAGUUUUUCGAUUAGUUUCUAGACCCAAACCAUUAUCAGCAGUUCCAAAGCAAGUUGUAACAGGAACUGUGUUGACAAGAUCUGUUUUCAUCAACAAUGUGUUAUCUAAAAUUGGAGAAGUUUGGGCAAGCAAAGAACCUAUAAAUAGCACCACACCUUUCAAUAGUUCUAAAAUAGAAGAACCAUCUCCUAUAGUGUAUUCGCUCCCAGCUCCAGAGCUGCCUGAGGCAUUUUUUGGAACACCAAUUUCAAAAGCAUCACAAAAAAUUUCUAGACUGCUAGAUUUGGUUGUUCAGCCUGUCCCCCGGCCUUCUCAGUGUUCGGAGUUUAUUCAGCAAAGCUCCAUGAAAUCUCCUUUGUACCUAGUAUCCCGUUCACUGCCCUCAAGUUCACAAUUAAAAGGAUCGCCUCAGGCCAUCUCCAGGGCUUCAGAAUUACAUUUGCUUGAAACUCCUCUUGUAGUUAACAAAGCUAAAAGUUUGGCCAUGUCAGUUACUACUUCUGGAUUUUCUGAGUUCACUCCUCAGUCCAUCCUGAGGUCUACUCUUCGAUCAACACCUUUAGCAUCUCCCUCUCCAUCACCUGGAAGGUCUCCUCAACGACUUAAAGAAACUAGAAUUUCAUUUGUGGAAGAAGAUGUCCACCCAAAGUGGAUUCCUGGGGCUGCAGAUGAUAGCAAAUUAGAAGUAUUUACUACACCUAAAAAAUGUGCAGUUCCAGUGGAAACUGAAUGGCUGAAGAGCAAAGAUAGGACCACAUCUUUUUUCCUGAACAGCCCUGAAAAGGAGCAUCAAGAAAUGGAUGUGGGGUCACAAAGUUUAGAGAAACUGGAUGUGAGCAAAGGAAACAGCAGUGUUUCAAUCACAUCCGAUGAGACUACCUUAGAGUAUCAGGAUGCACUGUCACCGGAAGACCUUGAAGAGACUGUUUUCACGGCCUCUAAGCCCAAAAGCUCUUCCACUGCACUAACUACUAAUGUAACUGAACAAACUGAAAAGGAUGGAGAUAAAGAUGUAUUUGCAUCAGAAGUAACUCCUUCAGACCUACAGAAACAAAUGGGCAAUUUAGAAGAUGCAGAAACAAGGAUCUCUUAGUUGCAGCAGAGGCAUUUUCAGAAUUGAAUCACUUAAGCCCAGUUCAAGGAACUGAAGCUUCUCUUUGUGCACCAUCAGUCUAUGAAGGGAAAAUCUUCACCCAGAAGUCCAAGGUACCAGUGUUGGAUGAAGGAUUAACAUCUGUUGAAACCUACACCUCUGCAAUUAGAGCAAAUGACAAUAAAUCUAUGGCUGAUGUCCUUGGUGAUGGUGGAAACUCCUCACUCACUAUCUCUGAAGGUCCUAUUGUCUCUGAGCGCAGGCUUAACCAGGAAGUAGCGCUGAACUUAAAAGAAGAUCAUGAAGUAGAAGUUGGUGUACUAAAAGAAAGUGUUGACUUACCAGAAGAAAAGCUUCCAAUUUCUGACAGCCCUCCUGAUACUCAAGAAAUUCAUGUGAUUGAACAGGAAAAGCUUGAAGCUCAAGAUUCAGGAGAAGAGGCUAGGAAUCUUUCAUUUAAUGAGUUAUAUCCCUCUGGAACACUUAAGCUUCAGUACAAUUUUGAUACUAUUGACCAACAGUUUUGUGACUUAGCUGAUAAUAAAGACACUGCUGAAUGUGACAUUGCUGAAGUAGAUGGGGAACUUUUUGUGGCUCCAAGCAACUUUACCUUGAUAUUGGAAGGUGAAGAAGGAGAAGUUGAGCCAGGUGAUUUUGCAUCAUCUGAUGUGUUACCUAAAGCAGCUAACACAGCAACUGAAGAAAAACUUGUAUGCAGUGGGAAAAAUGAUAAUCAUGGACAAGUUGCAAAUUUGCCAUCUGCUGUAACUAGUGACCAAAAGUCCCAAAAAGUAGAGACUUUACCAUAUGUGCCUGAACCUAUUAAAGUAGCAAUUGCAGAAAAUUUGCUAGACGUAAUUAAAGACACAAGAAGUAAAGAAAUUACUUCAGAUACAAUGGAACAGUCCAUUCAUGAAACAAUACCUUUAGUGAGCCAAAACAUAAUGUGUCCCACUAAAUUAGUCAAAUCUGCAUUUAAGACUGCUCAGGAAACAAGCACAAUGACUAUGAAUGUCAGCCAGGUUGAUGACGUGGUUUCCUCCAAAACUCGUACGAGAGGUCAACGUAUCCAAAACGUGAAUGUCAAAUCAGCACAACAGGAAGCAUCAGCAGAUGUUGCUACUCCUAAGAUGCCAGGGCAGUCAGUCAAGAAGAAAACUAGGAAGGCAAAAGAAAUUUCUGAAGCUUCUGAAAACAUCUAUUCUGAUGUCAGAGGACUAUCUCAGAACCAGCAAAUACCUCAAAAUUCUGUUACGCCUAGGAGAGGAAGGAGAAAGAAAGAAGUUAAUCAGGACAUACUAGAAAACACCAGUUCUGUGGAACAAGAAUUACAGAUCACUACAGGUAGGGAAUCAAAAAGAUUAAAAUCAUCUCAGCUGUUGGAACCAGCAGUUGAAGAAACUACUAAAAAAGAAGUUAAGGUUUCAUCUGUUACAAAAAGGACUCCUAGAACAAUUAAAAGAUCUGUAGAAAAUCAGGAAAGUGUUGAAAUUAUAAAUGAUCUAAAAGUUAGUACGGUAACAAGUCCUAGCAGAAUGAUCAGAAAAUUGAGAAGUGCUCAUUUAGAUGCUUCUGAAAAUACAGGAAAUAAGCAAGAAGAUAAAUCCAGUGACAAGCAGCUGCCUAUUAAACAUAUUAGAAGGGUCAGAGGGAGAGAAGUUAGUCCAUCAGAUGUGAGAGAAAACUCCAACCUUGAGUCAUCUCAGUUGACUCUUCAAGCAGAAUUUGAUAUGUCUGCCAUACCUAGAAAACGUGGUAGACCAAGAAAAAUCAAUCCAUCUGAAGAUGUAGGAUCUAAGGCUGUUAAGGAAGAGAGAAGCCCCAAGAAGAAAGAGGCUCCCAGCAUUAAAAGGAGAUCUACAAGAAAUACCCCAGCUAAAAGUGAAAAUGUUGAUGUUGGAAAACCAGCUUUAGGAAAAUCCAUUUUAGUGCCAAACGAGGAACUUUCGAUGGUGAUGAGCUCUAAGAAAAAACUUACAAAAAAGACUGAAAGUCAAAGUCAAAAACGUUCAUUGCACUCAGUAUCAGAAGAACGCACAGAUGAAAUGACACAUAAAGAAACAAAUGAGCAGGAAGAAAGAUUGCUCGCCACAGCUUCCUUCACUAAAUCAUCCCGCAGCACCAGGACUCAGUCUAGCAAGGCCAUCUUGUUGCCGGACCUUUCUGAACCAAACAAUGAGCCUUUAUUUUCUCCAGCGGCAGAAGUUCCAAGAAAGCAAAAGCUAAAAAAAUAGAGGUUCCUGCACAGCUGAAAGAAUUAGUUUCGGAUUUAUCUUCUCAGUUUGUCAUCUCACCUCCUGCUUUAAGGAGCAGACAAAAAAACACAUCCAAUAAGAACAAGCUUGAAGAUGAACUGAAAGAUGAUGCACAAUCAGUAGAAACUGUGGGAAAGCCAAAAGCGAAAGGAAUCAGGACGUCAAAAACAAAACAAGCAAAAACACAGAAAAAGAAAGUGCUUGGUCACCUCCUGCCGUAGAAAUUCGGCUGAUUUCCCCCUUGGCUAGCCCAGUUGACGGAGUCAAGAGCAAACCAAGAAAAACUACAGAAGUGACAGGAACAGGUCUUGGAAGGAACAGAAAGAAACUGUCUUCCUAUCCAAAGCAAAUUUUACGCAGAAAAAUGCUGUAAUUUCUUGGGAAGUUUUUAAUGUACACCUAUUUGUAAAGUCAUCAGAAUAGUGUGGAUUAUUAAAUAUCUAGUUUGGAAGAAAAUAAUUUAUAUAAAUUAUUGUAAAUUUGUAUGUAAACAGAAGGUCUUCAAUAAGUAAAGUAACUCCAUAUGGAGUGAUUGUUUCAGUCCAGGCAAUUUUUCUAUUUUAUAUUAAGACUUCAUACGUUUAUAUAUGUAAAUAUGGCUUAUUAAUGGAAUGUUAAAUGAAAUGUAUACUUCACAGUCGUUUGUGUCUUGGAUUUUUGAAAGGGAGGGGAUAUCUGUUUAAAUAGUUUUAUAUGCUCAUUGGUCUCAUUUUCUCUAUAAUUAAAAUACUAGACCAGUCUUAAAAUGGGGAUGAUUGAAGUAUUGAUGUUUCUUUUUACAGUUACUAUUUUAUAAUUUAUGCACUUUGAUUCUGUGAUUCAGAUUUCUAAUCAUAAAAUGUAUUUUUUUGUUUUUGGCUGUUACUAUGUUAAAAUUGAAUUAUGGGCAUGUAAUUUUGCCAUCUUUGUAGUUUCACAAAUUUUGUGCAAUCUACCUCAAAUGAAUAAUCCAAGUAUUGGUUAACUAUAAUGUUGGCAUCUCUUAUUCGGCAAGCUUAAAGGCUCUUUAAAGUCUUAAUUAGUCAAAGACUAAUCCAGGUUAUAUUGACCGGUUCACUGCUCACUUGCAACCUUAUCAAAGGAUUUGACAAAGGGAAAUGUAAAAUAAAUCUGUUUAUGGAUAUUGAGUGCAUCUUGUAUGUGCCUAAUAUUGAUAGGAUGAGAUGUCUGAACAAAUUUUUAUAAUAUUGUUGUGAAGGAGCUUGCUACUGAACCACAGAAAUCCCUUAAUAUUCAGGUUUUAAAACUGGCAAAUUCUCACAGGACCUCAGGCACAGAUUAUUAAGGUUGGGAGAGAGUGAGUAGAUGUAGAAAAGGAGAAAAACAACACACGCCCUGUUCUCUACAGUACAACUGUGUGCAAUUAAGCAAUGGUACUUGAUGUAGGCUCUAACACUCAUCAAUAAAUAAGUGUUGUAAAAUAAUUUAUAACAGGUAAUUGAUAGUGUGUAAUGAAUGGACUAUUAAUAAUUGAUCAUCUAGAAACGAACUGCUUUCGUGGGCUAAGCUUUUAAUAUUUUAAUGUGAAGCAUAUGCAGUGUGCUUUCUGCAUUUAUUUUUCUACCAAAUAAUACAGAUAAUGAGAAAUUGGUGAAAAUGCCUACGCCAAGUGUUGACAGUGUGAAAGUAGCAGUGCGAGUGCGGCCUUUUAGUCAGGUUAGUGAUGGAUGUUACGCUGUCUUGUUGAAAAUUUCACUGACUUUGAUUUUAUUACUUUUUUAAUGAUAGUUAUCAAACUUGUAUUUAAGCUGCUUGUCAUUUAUGGAAUAUUGAACUUAUUUAAAUGAACUUGUUAAAUGAAUAAAGAGCUAAACAUAAUUCAGUAAACAAUUUUAUUCCUUUGCGCAAGUAGCACAAUAAACAUGGAUGCAAUGUAUGUCAAGUUAAUACUUUUUUAAACCAACGCAAUUUGGUGAAUAUAGAUGUGUGGUACCUGUUUUUAAUAAAUGUACUUUUUCCCCCUCUGUGAAUGUAGAUCAUAAGCAAACAAAUUGCCUGUUCUAAAUGAACUUUAUAUAUAUUUUAAAUGAAUGUAUGUACUUAUGUAUAAAUGUCUUUAUAUAGCUUGAAUAAAAACACUGCUCAUUAAAAUGUGUUGCUACAACAAAAAAAAAAAGAAAAGAAGGAAAUUCUGUCAUUUGUAACAUGAACCUGUAGGAUAUUAUGCUAAAUAAAAAAAGCUAAGUACAGG